AUUAUCGGGUGUUGAAAGAGUCUCCGUCAAUGUCACGCCCCGGGACCGGCGGUGUCACGCCCCGGGGUCCCUUUUCAGUUUAAAACAAAACAGAAAAGCGUCUGAAUUUUUUUUUUUUUGAAAACCUGACCCCAGAGUAUGCCAGAUCCGCCACAAAUACAGGAAAUCCACUGUUCACACGGACAGAGUCUCCCCUGUAUUUGCACGGCGUCGAUCAAAUACACAGUACAACCAGGAUACAACCACAACCAGAUGAAUAUAAAGAUAACUAUACAUUCAUACAUUCACCAUUCACAUCACAGUUUUACAUUCAAGGUUUAAACAGAAAUCCACAAAAAUCUUUUGAAAACUGUUUCCUACACAGAAACCUUUAUUCUUUUAAAAACGCUACCACGAGGGGUAGAAAACCUUUUAUUUUACAAAAUCGAGAAAUCCACAUUUUCAAAUGUAAAUAAAUACUGAACCACAUAAACCAACUAAACUAUAUAACAACAGGAAUACCAAGGAUAACCUGGGUCGGAAGCUCUAUCGACCGCUACACACGUACCUCACGUCUCGUCCCACUACUCAUCGCCCGCGAUACCUGAAAAAUGAUGGGGGAGGUGAGAACAUGUAAACAUGUCUCCCCUCCCAGUGGGUACCGCAAGCCGAAAAAGGCGAGGAGUACUCACCGGAUCAGGAAGAGAGCUAUACAACAACACGGAGAACUAGAUAGACAUAAGUGCUGGUAAGUAAAGAUGCUGAUAAGUAAGGAGCUGACAAGUAUAGAUGCAGGUAAAUAAAACAGUAGCUAUAAUAAACAGAUAAGGAUGUACUGAAAAUAAACACUACAGCUACUGUAUGCAUGCGUCAACUGAUGAUAAGCUCAAAAGUACCCAAUCUCGCUGCCCUAUUGGUCCGAAGACCUCAGGCCCAUGCCACACUGCUCAACCUGUACCUGACCCUCGCAAUGAAGCCCCUGGGUCAGAAGCACGGUACCUGACCCUCGCAAUGAAGCCCCUGGGUCAGAAGCAUAUACCCUCGCAAUAAAGCCCCUGGGCUCACGGGUUGGCAAUCCAACCACAUUUUCGGAAAAGAACACCCUCUUGCGGUGGAUCAGACCGCUGGUGUUCGUGAAAUGCGUACCUGCAGUGGCGAUCAAUGUAGUAUGCUCAAAGAUCAUCCAUCGGCAACUAGCCGACAAUCCAGCCCCUCAGGGCUAACCGACCGUAUGGGCCAUCAGCAACUAAUCGGCUACGUAUGUCAAGAUAGAACUGUAGCCACUCGACCGAAUAGGUCAUAGAUAUCAAAAUAGGGGAACCGCCCAACCAAAUCACAGAUAUAGUGAACAGAUAAGUCGACUCUACUCCUAAGCAUGAUAUCAACAUGGAACCAUCGACCGCAUGGGUCAUCAUGUAACCAAAUCGACCAACCAGGUCACAAGUAUAGCGUAUGAAACUCGACCAAUCAUGUCACAAGUAUAGGAUAUGAACUCGACCAAUCAUGUCACAAGUAUAUAAUCUAGAACUACCGUCGGCCACUAGCCGACAAUCCGACCCCUCAGGGUACACCGACCUCAACGGUCAUCGGACAACAGAAGUCAAAAGACCGACCAAUCAGGUCACUGAUACGAGGUACAAGAAACCACCAACCAGGUCACAAGUGUAGGAGAUGCAAUGUCGACCAACCAAGUCAUGGAGAUCACAUAGGAGAUCAGACCAACCAAAUCAUAAAUAUCAUAUACAGAUAAAGUCUACUCUACUCCUACACAUGAUACUACACCUGGCAACAACUAAGUAGAGUAAUAAGGAAACAGCAUGGGUGCAAGGCUCAACAUAUAUAUGGUAAGAGAUAUAAACAACAAGGGUAAAGGAAACGUCACCGAGUGAGCACCAUUGUACCAACGUCGGAUCGAAGUACCCACCUGUACAACUGUCGCGCCUGUCUCCUGACUGCAAAAGAACGUCAACAGGACCUAAGGGGGGUCCACUGGGUUAGUAUCUAACCCACGAAUAUAAAACACUAAACGUACAACCCCAUAAACAAUCCCACUGAGAUCAGUUUCUUAAAACCGACUACCGUAACUCGCCGGAAGUCCCGAAAAUCGUACCGGGACUCCGCCGGGACCACUGAAAUGUCUCGGAACGCACCGACUCAUGCUACGAGUCACCCGCUGCCACAAAACACAUCAAAUAAGAUGUCUUGGCAGCAAACCCAAAAUCUCGCCUCCAAACAAUUAUCGUCGGAUAAUCGUUCGGAUCCGGGUUCCCGAAAGUGUCUAUUUCGACACCAGAACCCACCGUCGCUCACCCGUCAUUUCUGAACUCUCGAAAUGACGCGAGUGACCAGCCAACAAGGCUCAGCGACUACACAAAAGCUCACAAAGCACCGUCGGAAUAAUUCCAAACCAAAACCGCGUUCCGUCGGCGAAUUUUGCCGACAAACGCACCGAAAAUACAUUUCCGAUCCUCGCAAAGGUUCGGGGCCUUGGACAAUCAGUCCAGAGGUUACCCACAAUUCAUCCAUGCUGCCAACAGCAGCCGCAACAACCUAAAAUACAUAAAAGCCCUCCCGAUUACCCGAAAUCGCAUUAUUUCAUGCGAUUUCGGCGCUUUUAUGGUCCGUCCAUGCAAACCAGGAGUCAUUCAGCCAAACCGAGACACCUACUGACAGGUCUCGGCGUGCCG
rnacentral:lncRNA from 1 species